AUGCUCACUUAGGCGACAUAUAUACUAACACUGGAGUGACACAGAGGUUAGCAUGGCCGCUGUGCAAGGAUGACACACACACUCGUGAAACGCUCCAUAUUUUU